CGGAGGAAAAGAAACCAACAGGGAUUGCCCUAGUAACGGCGAGUGAAGCGGCAACAGCUCAAAUUUGAAAUCUGGCUCUCGGGCCCGAGUUGUAAUUUGUAGAGGAUGUUUCUGGCGACGUGUCUUCCGAGUUCCCUGGAACGGGACGCCAUAGAGGGUGAGAGCCCCGUCCGGUCGUACGCCUAGCCUCUGUGAAACUCCUUCGACGAGUCGAGUAGUUUGGGAAUGCUGCUCAAAAUGGGAGGUAUACGUCUUCUAAAGCUAAAUACCGGCCAGAGACCGAUAGCGCACAAGUAGAGUGAUCGAAAGAUGAAAAGCACUUUGAAAAGAGGGUUAAAUAGUACGUGAAAUUGCUGAAAGGGAAGCGCUCAUGACCAGACUUGGGCUCGGUGAAUCAUCCGGCGUUCUCGCCGGUGCACUUUGCCGGCCCAGGCCAGCAUCAGCUCGCCUCGGGGGAUAAAGGCUUCGGGAAUGUAGCUCCCUCGUGGAGUGUUAUAGACCGUUGCGUAAUACCCUGGGGCGGGCUGAGGUACGCGUCUGCAA
rnacentral:sRNA from 1 species